rnacentral:lncRNA from 1 species
GGCUAAACUUUUGCAAUUUAACUUGAAUUCAUAGGUCGAGCAUUACACUUAACAUGAGGGUAUGAAAUGUAAUUAUGAAUACAAAGUUAAAUAUGAACUCGAGUAGACUUCUUCCUUGUAUCACCAUUAAUUUUCUGCUCCAGCCCGCUCAACUUAAGUAUCUCGGCAUUUAUUUCAUCCCCCAAAUCUAAUAGCUUUUCAGCUCGAUAUUUCACCUCAACUUCUUUCAUAAAUUUUAUUUUCCUAAAGGCUAAAUACCAGCAAACAAAAGUCCCGCUUACUUGGACCAAACCACUCCCCACAAUAAAGUAAAAUGCGGGGACAUUGUAAAGUUUUGUUUGAAGUUAGGGCAAACACGAAAAAAUAAUUCAUAGAAAAGAAAAUAGCGACGGCUUUUAAAGAGAAUUUCAAGGAAUUAAGAAGUUCAGGUUGUACCAAGACUUGAGAUAACAGUUUGGCCAUCAAAUUAUUCAGUUGUUACUUCUUCCACAACCUUCAGAUCUUCCGCUAUAGUGCUGGAGAGAUGAAGAGGGGAGGAAAUGGGGCCGG